CGGAGGAUCCAAGCGUUAUCCGGAAUCAUUGGGUUUAAAGGGUCCGUAGGCGGGUUUAUAAGUCAGUGAUGAAAGCCCAUCGCUCAACGAUGGAACGGCCAUUGAUACUGUAGAUCUUGAACUAUUAGGAAGUAACUAGAAUAUGUAGUGUAGCGGUGAAAUGCUUAGAGAUUACAUGGAAUACCAAUUGCGAAGGCAGGUUACUACUAAUGGAUUGACGCUGAUGGACGAAAGCGUGGGUAGCGAACAGGAUUAGAUACCCUGGUAGUCCACGCCGUAAACGAUGGAUACUAGCUGUUCGGAGCAAUCUGAGUGGCUAAGCGAAAGUGAUAAGUAUCCCACCUGGGGAGUACGUUCGCAAGAAUG
rnacentral:rRNA from 1 species